rnacentral:rRNA from 1 species
AUUGAACGCUGGCGGCAGGCCUAACACAUGCAAGUCGAACGGUAACAGGAAACAGCUUGCUGUUUCGCUGACGAGUGGCGGACGGGUGAGUAAUGUCUGGGAAACUGCCUGAUGGAGGGGGAUAACUACUGGAAACAGUAGCUAAUACCGCAUAACGUCGCAAGACCAAAGAGGGGGACCUUCGGGCCUCUUGCCAUCGGAUGUGCCCAGAUGGGAUUAGCUAGUAGGUGGGGUAACGGCUCACCUAGGCGACGAUCCCUAGCUGGUCUGAGAGGAUGACCAGCCACACUGGAACUGAGACACGGUCCAGACUCCUACGGGAGGCAGCAGUGGGGAAUAUUGCACAAUGGGCGCAAGCCUGAUGCAGCCAUGCCGCACGUAUGAAGAAGGCCUUCGGGUUGUAAAGUACUUUCAGCGGGGAGGAAGGGAGUAAAGUUAAUACCUUUGCUCAUUGACGUUACCCGCAGAAGAAGCACCGGCUAACUCCGUGCCAGCCGCCGCGGUAA